rnacentral:rRNA from 1 species
UACGAAGGGGGGCUAGCGUUGUUCGGAAUUACUGGGCGUAAAGCGCACGUAGGCGGACUAUUAAGUCAGGGGUGAAAUCCCGGGGCUCAACCCCGGAACUGCCUUUGAUACUGGUAGUCUCGAGUCCGGAAGAGGUGAGUGGAAUUCCGAGUGUAGAGGUGAAAUUCGUAGAUAUUCGGCAAGAACACCAGUGGCGAAGGCGGCUCACUGGCCGGUACUGACGCUGAGGUGCGAAAGCGUGGGGAGCAAACAGG